rnacentral:rRNA from 1 species
UACAGAGGUCUCAAGCGUUUGUUCGGAUUCAUUGGGCGUAAAGGGUGUGUAGGUGGCGCGCUAAGUCGGGUGUGAAAUUCGGAGCUUAACUCCGAAACUGCAUUCGAUACUGGCGUGCUUGAGGACUGGAGAGGAGACUGGAAUUCUGGUGUAGCGGUGAAAUGCGCAGAUAUCAGAGAACGACCCGUGGCGAAGGCGGCUCUCGUGGGACGGUA